rnacentral:sRNA from 1 species
AGCACAGAAAGAGGGUCCGUGGGGGACGGUAGAAGCCUGGAGGAGGAGCUUGAGUCCAGCCACUGUCUGGGUACUGCCAGCCAUCGGGCCCAGGUCUCUGGGGUUGUCUUACCGCAGUGAGUACCACGCGGUACUACAGAGACCGGCUGCCCGUGUGCCUGGCAGGUGGAGCCGUCCGCAUCAGCGGCCUCGGGGAAUGGAAGCGGAGAACGCGGGCAGAGGCUCCAAAAGGAAGAAAAAGAAAACCCAGAACAACAGAACCAAAACAACCAGUGGAACCCAAAAAACCUGUUGAGUCAAAAAAAUCUGGCAAGUCUGCAAGAUCAAAAGAAAAACAAGAAAAAAUUACAGACACAUUUAAAGUAAAAAGAAAAGUAGACCGUUUUAAUGGUGUUUCAGAAGCUGAACUUCUGACCAAGACUCUCCCUGAUAUUUUGACCUUCAAUCUGGACAUUGUCAUUGUAAGAUCUUUGUCCUCGUUGGAUUUUAUAAGUAGUAUUGGGGGAUCAGCUUUACUUAACAGUUGUCCUUGCAAAUAGCAUUUUGCUGAAAAGGACCAUUUCUAAGAAUCCUUUUGGUGGUAAAUGGUGUCACCUUCAUGAGGUUGUGUUAUAUGAGAGUGUUUAAGAGGGUGGGCUCCAAAUUUAGACUGGGUUCAAAUCCUGUCACAAGUAUAAUCUUGGAUAAGUCUUAUUAACCUUUCUAAACACCGGUUUUCUCAUUGAUAAACCAGGGGUGAUAAUACCACCCCCCGAUAGGGUUGCAAGUAAAUGAGAGAAUCCAUGUGAAUCACUUCAACUGAAUGAUACCUGUGGAGACUUGAUAAAUGGUAGCACUAAUUUUAAGCUCUUAUUUUUC